GGCUCCGAAUUCGCCCUUCCUACGGGAGGCAGCAGUGGGGAAUUUUGCGCAAUGGGCUAACGCCUGACGCAGCAACGCCGCGUGGAGGAUGAAGGUCCUUGGAUUGUAAACUCCUGUCAGCGGGGAAAAAGCGACUCGUGCUCACACCACGGGGAGUUGAUUGUACCCGCAGAGGAAGCCCCGGCUAACUCUGUGCCAGCAGCCGCGGUAAUAAGGGCGAAUUCG
rnacentral:rRNA from 1 species